rnacentral:rRNA from 1 species
CAGUCGCCGCGGUAAAACGGAGGGGGCUAGCGUUGUUCGGAAUUACCGGGCGUAAAGCGCACGUAGGCGGCUUGGUAAGUUAGAGGUGAAAGCCUGGAGCUCAACUCCAGAAUUGCCUUUAAGACUGCCGAGCUAGCAGGUGAGAGAGGUAAGUGGAAUUCCGAGUGUAGAGGUGAAAUUCGUAGAUAUUCGGAAGAACACCAGUGGCGAAGGCGGCUUACUGGCUCAUACUGGACGCUGAGGUGCGAAAGCGUGGGGAGCAAACAGGAUUAGAUACCCCUGUAGUCCCUGUCUCUUAUAC